ensembl:lncRNA
AGAAAAGUUACCACUGAUUUGGGACAUGACCUUCUAAAGUCAAAAUGGCCUGCAUUCAAGGUAGCUGAUCUGAACUCUCAGAAGACUCAUUUUGUAUGUGCUGUCAUUAGAUUAUAUGUCAACGGGAACAAAUGGCCUAGAUGUUUCUCUAUUAACAUUUCCAAAUUUAAACUAUAAGGCCUUUUUGAGGUAGGAAAAAAGAAUAAUGGAGAAUUUUUACUUAGAAUUUAUAUUAGUUUGCCUUCUGUCUCAUAAAAAGACUCUUCAGAAGAUUUUUAAAAACCACCUUUUUUUGUAAUAAUGUAAACAAGCAUCACACUUUCAAAAGAACAACACAUUUUGUCAUAUAGCAGCUAAAAGAAGUACUACAAACUAUUCCAGAAUAUAUCAAGUACUGAAUUACAAUCAAAACACUGACAAUAUAACAGCAGUAGGAAUGGAGCUAUUAUAAUUAACCCUCUUACAACAGAAGAUAUAAUCUGAAACAAACAGCAGAUAUAGUAACAAUUUUACUUUUUUUAACUUUUAGUUACUUAUUUUUUACAACAUAAGGCAAAGAAAAUUACUCCAUGUCAAUGUCUUCCCUAUAACUUUUUUAAAAGUAAUUUGUUUCACAGCUGUACAUACAAAUGAAUGCAUUAGUCAAAUCUCAUCUCUACAUAUGCACACCUGAACAUUUCUGAGGUUUAUUAAUUACUUGUGAAACAUUCUCAUAAGCUAUUGCAAUUAAGCAAGCUCCAUGCUCUGUAACAUAUAAACAGUUUCAGCCUUUUUUUUUUUUAAUGGAUAAAAUAAUAGUAAUUUCCAAUUAUGAAGUGGUCCAUCUCCCUAAGCACCAAUGAAUCUAUGAGUUCAAUAUCAUAGGAGUGUUUUCUUCUACUCUCCAACUCCUAAUGUCUACUGAAGACACUUGAGAAUUUUCUAGUGUCAUACAUUCGAAUGGAAAAAAUGAGUAAUUUAGGGUAGGAGAAUCCUCUCUUUAUAGAUAUUUUUAUAAAAUUUAUUUGGCUAUUAGCAAUCAAGUUUAACAAAAUGUAGGCACCCAAAUUCUCCAAAUCUUGAACAGAACUUGAACAGAACUCAAGUGAAGCUUUCACUGCUCAGAAUUCUAAAUGUGUUAUACCAAUAUGUGUACAGAAAAAUACUGUAUACUAAAAAACAAAAACCCACAAUCCCCAAAAAAACAAAAACCAAUCUUUGUAAUACAGGUUAAAUACUAUUACAAAAAACUCCCAGAUGUUAAAACUGUAUCAUUACUUAGAUGGGUCUGUGAUAGGAAAAUGUUACAAACAACAAUGAAGUACAGACUGGGUAAAAACGAAUGAAUUAACCAAAAGAGUAAAUUAUGAACUUUAACCAACAAGAAAGCACAACACUAGUCAUUGUGCACUUUCCUCUAGUUUAGUAACCAAAAAAACCUAUAAGCUUGGUCUAGUAAAUGCCUUUAAGAGGUGUGUUGCAGUAUGAAGCCCCAGUGUAUAUGGGAAUGAUAGAAGUACAGAAGGCCGGAUGCCAUAGCACGAGUGCUAGAUACCAGAGUUCAAAUACUGUCCCUGACAUUACUGUGACAAUUAAUAAACUGGUUCUUUAAUCUUGCAAAAAGGGAAUACUUUCACGAUUGAUCUCAGAGGGUUUUAUGAGGAAAGCAUUUUUAAAAAACUAUCACGUGCUUAAUAAAUGAAAUAUUGUUAUUUUAUAAGAAGUAUUAUGAACUUAUUAACCUAUAUAAGAAACUGGGCCAAGUAAGGCUGUGGAUUUAAAGUGGGGAAAAAAUAGAACCACCUUGGAGGUGUGGGGAAGAAAAGAAUAAACAGAGGAAAUACAAAUUUCAAUAAGAUAAACAGAGAUUUCAUCAAACUGCAUUCUAUUUUAAAGAACCUGAAAUAUAAACUGAUAAAAAUAUGGCAAAGUAAUUCUAUUUAUAGUCUGUAGUUAUACAUUAAGAUCAAUAAAUACAGCAUUUGUUCAAAUGACAUGGACAAUAAGCCCAAUCUAUCAAAGAACUUAGAUUUCCAAGUAAACUUUUAAAGAAAGGGAAACGGGGUAUUAGCAUUUAAAAAAAAAAAGGCUCAAAAAAUGCAUAAAGUUCAAUGAAGAUUACCAAAUACUGAGAAUAGCCACAUCUUCAAAUACGUUUCAAAAAAAAAAUUCACAUAAUGGGGAAUCAGCUAUGGUGAAAUUACUGUAGACUUAAAGCUAUUUAAAUAUAAGAAUUCAAUUACUAAAGAUCAGAUCUCAUUAGGACAAUUAUCAGUUAACUACAUACCUAACAUGGCUAAUUCUGUUAUAGGCUCCACCGGACUCCUUUAUCUCAAAAGUUUUUGUAGUCCUCUUUUAGUAAAGGAGAUAAUUACUUUAAAAAAACUGGGAGUUAUAUAAUAUAUACAAUACUAUGUAAGACAGACAUUUAUUAGAUGAACUUAAUAGUCAUUGCAAAUUAAUUUUAGGCACUUCUUGAACACAAACUGUGAAUACUGUCUCCCAAAAACAUUACAAGCUUUCAAUACAUUAUGGGACUUAAUCCUUUGAUCAUAUAUAUUAUAUAUAUUGCAUGACAUUUCAAGUUUGGACUUUUUGAGUCUGGAACUGUGAUUUAAUUGGUAGAAAAUUCCUAGUAUUGGAAAUCCCCCCUGCCAAUGCUGACAGCAACUCUUCUGAAAUUUAUAGUUUUAGAAUCAGGAAGCUCUAAAUUCAAAUCUGACAUAUAUUGAUAGUAUGACCCUCUGAAGCCCACCUCUUUAUCCAAUAUGUGUUGCUGUAGCUUAAUUCUGUUAAAUUAAGAUUUAACAGGAAAGACUAAGUUUUAAUCAAUAGAAUCUUAAGUUUUAAAAUGAAACCAUUAAUUCUUUGGGGAAGUUACAGAGUGAAAGUUAUUUUUGAAAUAUUUUUGGUUUUUGUAUAAAUGAAAUUGUUCAUAAUGUGCAGAAGUAAAUAGCACACAAUGCUAUAGUUAAGAAUUCCAUUAAAGUAAAUAACUUUCUCUUAGACUUCAUUUAUUUUAUGCUUAUUUUAUAAAGACCAGGAAAAUGCAAUGCUCCUUUUCAGAGAAAAGUCAUGUCUCCUAAAUUAAGAUUGUUUUUCAUUUUUAAAAAAGUUGCAUAAUAAACAAAAACAUAACUUGCUUUAACCCACCUAAUGUAAAAAGAAUGAUGAAUAAUCACUAUCAAUAUCUGUGAGCCUUCAUUUUUUCUGAGAAUUAAAAUGAACUACUUCAAACUGAAGGACUAUAAAGAUGAACUUUCAAUCUUCACCAGUGAGUCUGAAAACUUUUCCUCCUAACAAACCUGCACAACCACAAGAACUUUCAUGCGUUUCAAAGGAAAAAAAUUUCUUUUCUAAGUGCAACACAUCCUAUUGUGUUCUCAUGUCACUCUAACAGCAGCCUGGGGAAACUAUUCAAACUACCGCUUUGAUACAUGGUUUUAAAAUCUAAUUUAAAAUAUCCUUCUUUUAAACUUUCAUGAUUUCAUCAAUAUGGAUUCCUUCCCUGAUGUGGAUUACAGUUUUUCUUCUAGAGUUCCUGUGGUUGAAAAAAAUCUCUCCAAAUUUAGCUAGACUAGUCCUCAAGCAAUAAAAAUAUACUUCAUCACUGAGCACAACACAAAACUUUUCCAACUUGGUAAGACCAAGUAUAUUUAAAAUAUAUUUUUAUUUAAAUUGUGUAUUUAACAAUAUACAAUAAAUUUGGAAAAUAAAACAUUAGGAAGAGAGUAUACUGUCAUCAAUAUGACUUGGAGGAAGCCAUUAGAGGGACCAAAAUAAAAAAAAAAAAGUCAAAGAAAGAACUAGAAAGAUGCUGUGUGGCCCUACUUUAAAAAAACUCUCAGCUACAAUUUCCGAAAAUUUGGUCUAAAAUACCAUCUGCAUUAGAUAAAUAACUAUAACUUCUUUUUCCUUACAGAUGACGGGAAAAAGUUUGAAAGUAUCUAGAGUUUGAGAAUCAAUUAAGCUUGACUCAAUAAAGGUCUAUAAUCGAUAGCCCAUCUUCAAAAGCAUAUUGACCUUUAUAUAAUUAAAACUGUCAUGCUGCCAUUUUAAGCCUGAAAAUGUAUAAUGGUUAUAAAAACAUAAAACACAAUGUUCUUAAUGUUAAACACUGAAGUGAUCUACCAAACCACAUGCUUCUGGCUUAGUUAAAAUUUUAUUAUUUUUAUAACAUAUUUUGGUAGUAAUGAUCUUUAAAUCCGUAUUACUAUUUAUGAUAUGUACAUUUAUUUCUCCCUAUAAUUCCAUUAAUUUUGAAAAGAUUCACAUUGUUUUAAAAUUAUUUCUUGUACAAUUUGGAUUAUAUUGUUUUGAAAUAGUUGGGAUUUUAAAGUUAAACCAAUAUAAUAUGCAGGGAUUUUUAAAUAAUAAUAAUAUUAGUAUAAUAGUUGUUCAUGGUUAUGUCAGAGGCUUAUGUUUUGACUUUUAACAAAUCUUUUUAAAAAUAUCAAUUCAACAUUUAUAGCACUCUGAGCAACAGUAUUAUAAAUGGCAAUAAAGUUUAAUAUAGAUUACUUCAAAAGUCACCAUGCAAAACCAUUUUGAAAUCAUAAUAAACAUUCAGAAAAAUUCAGAACUAGUUACCUAGUUAUUAAGCAAUAUAUUAAGUGGGAAUAAAUCUCUUAGUUAUAAUUUUAACUGUUCUCAAAAUACUGAUGUUUUAAAACUUAAAAAAAGUAAAAACAACUUCUUGCCUUCCAUAGCAGACCAUUACAAACCAAUGGCAGAACCUCCACAUUUCAGUGACUAGGAUAGUAUGCUUUACUCUUGAAGAUGUCAAAUUUAUUUAAUAGUUGUCAUAUAAUUUAAGGUAUGUACAGUGAUUCUAAUUAAAACCCAAUACUUCAGAAUUUUUGAAGGGUCACACCAUUUGAUAGACGUAUUUCUCAUUUUUUUCCCUCAUAAUUGGCUCUGAAAAUUCACUUCCUAAAUUAUAUUCUCAUAAUUUAAAGUAUAAGAUUACUUACUUAAAUAGGCAAUAAGUCCUUUUAAAAAAAAUAAUAAAAGAACAUUCUGGAAAUAAAUUAGUGGCAGUUGGUAAUAUUAAAUCAACUACUACAUAAGAAUUCCACUCCAGUGUACCAUAUCUUUUUGUGUGUGUUUAGGAAAUCAUCUGACCCCCCUUCCACUCCAAAACCCUAAAUUUAGACACUUUCAGCUUUCUUUUCUUUUUUUAAAGAAGCAGUGCAAAAUUUUUCUGGGUAGGUUAAUACAAUACAGAGAACAUGAAGACAAAGUAUAAGUGACAUGUCAACAUCUAUGUACUGGUUUCAUUUUAGGUUAGGUAUAUUAUUUACCUUUCUCUAGUAUAUAAAUCAAAGCCAUUAACCUAAAUUGGAAGUAUACACACAAUACAUAUACAAACUGAUGCAAAACAUCUUUCUCAUAUGUAACAUUAC